GCAUUGGUAAUUCAGUGGUAGAAUUCUUGCUUCAUGCAAGAAACCCAGGUUCAAUUCCCGGCCAAUGUA
rnacentral:tRNA from 1 species